rnacentral:rRNA from 1 species
GACGGGGGCCCACACAACCGGUGGAGGCACGUGGUUUAAUUCGACGAUAAGCGAAGAACCUUACCAGGGACUUGACAUGUCGGUAGUAGGACCCUGAAAGGGGAACGAACCAAAGCUUUGCUUUGGUAGCCGUCACAGGUAUUGCAUGGCUGUCGUCAGCUCGUGUCGUGGGACGUUGGGUUAAGUCCCGUAACGAGCGCAACCCCUGCCCUUAAUUGCCAGCGCAUUUGGCGGGUACUAUAAGGGGACUGCCGGAGAAUAUUCCGGAGGAAGGAGGGGACGACGUCAAGUCAUUAUGAUCCUUAUGUUCUGGGCGACACACGUGCUACAAUGGGCACUACAGUGGGGAGCCAAUCCGCAAGGAUGAGCAAAUCCCAAAAAGGUGCCCCCAGUGCGGAUUGGCGUCUGCAACCCGACCCCAUGAAGAUGGAAUCGGUAGUAAUCGCGGGUCAGCCAUACCGCGGUGAAUGCGUACUUGGGCCUUGUA